rnacentral:tRNA from 1 species
GGUUUAUGGCUCAGCGGCAGAGCGCUCGCCUAGCACUUGCGAGCACCUAGGUUCGAUCCUCAGCACCA